GCUCAUGAAGCAAAUUUGGGGAAAAUUAAACACUGUGAGCCAAGCCAAUUGGUAGGACACCAGGAGGGUUCCUUUUCUGACAGGUCUGAAUCUAAUUCCCUGGAGAAUUAAAGUAGAACUUUGUACUCAAUGAUCUCUCUCAAAUUUCUACAUCCAUAAACCCUUGUCAAUUGAGUGAUCAAAGUUAGAUGUACAUGUACUAUGCUGG
rnacentral:misc_RNA from 1 species